rnacentral:rRNA from 1 species
CCCGGGUCUUGUACACACCGCCCGUCACACCAUUGGGAGCGGGUUUCACCAGAAGUAGCUAGCCUAACCGCAAGGGGGGCGGUUACCACGGUGAGAUUCGUGACUGGGGUG